GACAGAGGUGCCAAGCGUUAGGCGGAAUCACUGGGCUUAAAGCGUGUGUAGGCGGAAUGGUAAGUACCUUGUGAAAUCCCACGGCUCAACCGUGGAACUGCUUGGUAUACUGCUUUUCUUGAGCCACUUAGGGGCUGUCGGAACAAACGGUGGAGCGGUGAAAUGCGUAGAUAUCGUUUGGGACGCCAACGGUGAAAACAGACAGCUGGGAGUGUGCUGACGCUGAGACACGAAAGCCAGGGGAGCGAACGGG
rnacentral:rRNA from 1 species